AGCCUCUCCGAGCGCUAAGGCAACCGACAAUGCUGAGGAUAGAAGAGAGGAGGAAGCUGGAUUUCUGUUUGGAGCAGCAACACACAUACACAUGCAUAGCUGUCCACAUCUUCGACAUUCCGCCUCCAUCUGCUCGAGCUUUCCCGUAGGCAGCGGCCAUCUUCCAACAUCUGCAUUCAGAGAAACCGCUAAAGCAUCAGUUUCUGCAUUAUGAGAAGAAGAUUGACACCCUGUCUCUGCCGGAGAACACUGAAAAGAGAACUUGAGCAACAAGCCUUCCAAGCUGACCGUCAGCCUACUCAAAUGUAUACCAAGAUUUACUGGAGGAGAUGAUGAUGGACAGCCGCUUCAACAUGUUGCAGCAUAUUACUGGAAUCCGCUGCAGGACUUGUCUCGUGGUUUCGUGUCCUAAAGCAACAUGAACAAACUUACAACUCAGAAAGCAAGACAACUGGCCCGCGGCUUAACCUGGGAGACGCACACGCACACGCACACACACACGCACACGAACACGCACACGCACCUAAUAAAUAUCAAGGUUUGACUUUUGGCCUGUGGACUCCUGGUGGUCCCCAGGAAACCACAAGUGGUCUCUCUGAGUAAUUUAGGCUGGAUUUAAGAUGCCAAACCUCACUGAUGAUUUAAAGCCUAUAUAUUUUUCCAGAAUUUCCCUGCACAUUUCAAGUGACACAUUUUUCAAUGGCCUUGUUUACAUUCACUGAAAACAUAAAACAAACCAGAUGCGGGACCGAAUUUCGCAUACUGUAAAUAAUGCGUCAACACAUGGUAGUGACAACACAGCAGUAAAGUGGGGGAUGAGGGGGUGGCGUGGAUGGUGGUUGGUCUUUACAGCUUAUCAGAGAAAAAAAAAAAACUCUCUCCAAGCAUGAAUGUCUGUGCACAACUGCACAUGCAAUGUACGCACAGAAAUAUGCCUUCCUGACACUUUUCAAAAAUCUACUUGCAAAAUUUGCACAACACUCCUCAAUUGGCGUUAACGUGACCGGCAAGUUUAAAAUUCUGUUUCAGAUGGUACAAACUCCAUUGAACGAAGCCCCUUUGGAAGUCCCACAGGUUCAAACUGUGCUCAACUGCACGCGCUCAGUGUCUGGUGAGCAAAAUGAGCAGCUGGUGAAGAGAGUGUUGGAAAAAAAACAUUCACUCCCGACAAACUGCUGCCAUUCAGGUAAACGCGCAGUCAUGUGAAAAGCUGAGAACUAGUUAGCGCUGAGACAAUCUUUAGCCUUUCCCUUGUCAAAGGCAACUGCCUUGUUUUGUUCAGUACGAGUGCUAGAGACACUGCAGCUUGAGCUCAAAGCGAAAAUGAAAAAAAUGAAAAGAAAAGUUGCAAUAAGUAGAAGAAAGACAAUUGGAGUCGAGGCCAAAGGCAGCAAACACAGUUUGAAUUCAGAUCUGCUGCCCCUCCUUCAGUGUGUGUGUGUCAGGGAAGCUCCUCUGCCUUUGGCUUCCUCUCGUUUGCUUCAAGCAGUGUAAUUGUGAUUUCACGGCCAGUUGGAUUCUGUCACUCCCAAUGACUUUGCCUUCUAUAUAAAACCGUUGGGCAUGUAUUUAAACUGAGAGUGAUGGGGCGGUCACCUUAAUAAUGGAUUUUCUCCGAGGCAGAGAAGCAAAUGUGCUUGAGAUGAGGGCACUGUUGAAUUUUUUUCUGUUGUUGGCUAGACGCAACUUAUUUGCAGUCCAAAGUGGCAUUGACUAAAUGUCUGCUUUUCAUUAAUAAUUCAAAUGCAAAAAAGAAGUUCUCUGCUGGCCAGAACACAAACAGAAGCACUGACCCACAUCCCAUCAAUUGAAAGGAUGUUUGGAGAAGAUUACAUAUUUUUUUUAAAAAUGCAAACUGCGAAACGCCAUAGACGGCCAAACAAAUUCAUAGCAUUGCAUCCGGUUUUAUAAACUCUGAAGCAACGGAUAUUUGAACGCAAACCGUGCAGCCACCCGUGUAGACAGACAUAACACCCAUAGGCGUAUAUUCUUUAUCCUCUGUAAGAAUAUUUUAAAAAUAUUAAAAUUCAGUGAAACUCUUGUGUGCAUCUGUAUUACACUGCCCCUUGGUGGCCACGCUAAGCAUACCAGGAGGAGCCCGACAUGGGUGUGGAACUCACUGAUGUUUUCAUUCAUUUCAAUAAAGGAUGCUUUUUGAUCAAGAAAUGAUUUUGAAAGAAUUGAUUUGGAGCAAAAUGUUUGCAAUUACUGUAGUUAGGAUCACAAUUUUGGGACAGACUUUCAACCAAAAUAGAAAAAAAAAAAAUUGUAGCAAGAAAUGACAACACAUUUUAUUUUCAUGUAUGGGCCACAUAAAGGCCUUGAGUUUCAAGGUGGGGUAAUAAAAUUGUAUAUAUUGUAUUGUAUAUAUUCUGGAGAAAAUACACGAAUUAAUAAAACUGAAGUUUCAUUUUCUUACAUAAAAUUGUCUUAAAAGUAAAACUGCUAGCCAAGUGUGGUAUAUCUCCAAGUUGUAGAUCUGAUGCAGACAGCCGAGUCCGUUUUAAGAUGCUGUUUAUUCUCACAAUUGGUUACAUUGAUAACGUGUACAAAUCAGUGAGCAGCAAACAGGAGCCUACACAUCCAUUGGCAGGAAAUGGAGUGUGUUGUUGUUGUUUAUGAGAAACUGGGAGCCCUCUGCAUGCAUCCUCUUCCUCCUCCUCCUCCUGCAGAGAACUCCCAGCUCCUGGUGUAUAGUUGCACUUUUUUUUUCUUCUGCAAAGCGGAGCCUGUUGGAGCGUUGCGAGCACUGAAACAAUGACUCAGAGUGAGACUUCAACAGCCUCCAUGAAUAAAAUCAGUAUAUACUUUUAUAAAAUAGAAUAAAUAAAAUAAAAAUAUUUCUGUUCAGUACAUACAGUCUUCCUCUCAAUCGCCCUCGGGCUUGCAAGGUAUUGCAACAACUCUUGCCAUGAAAAGAAUGCAUAGAUAAUUGCCUAUCAGGCGUCAACUUAAUUGACAACUGUGAGAAAAAAAAAAGUCAUUACUUUCCUUGUUUUUUCAUAUCUACAAGUUAUAUGUUACACUUUGGCCAUUUGGUGAGUUAAAAAA